rnacentral:rRNA from 1 species
CCUGGUUGAUCCUGCCAGUAGUUAUAUGCUUGUCUCAAAGCUUAAGCCAUGCAAGUCUCAGUACGAGCUGACUUAAAGUGAAACCGCAAAAGGCUCAGUAAACCGGUCAUAGUUUACCGGAUAUAUGCCACUCACGUGGAUAACUGUGGUAAUUCUAGAGCUAAUACAUGCAAACAAGUCCCGACCAGCGAUGGAAAGGACGCUUUUAUUGGAUCAAAACCAUUCGCCCGGCUCGCCCGGGCGUCUGCUUGAUGACUCUAGAUAACACCACAGAUCGCACGGUCACAGUACCGGCGACGUAUCCGUCAAAUGUCUGACUUAUCAGCUGUCGAUGGUAGACUCUGUGUCUACCAUGGCGCUCACGGGUAACGGGGAAUCAGGGUUCGAUUCCGGAGAGGGAGCCUGAGAAACGGCUACCACAUCCAAGGAAGGCAGCAGGCACGCAAAUUACCCACUCCCGGCACGGGGAGGUAGUGACAAAAAAUAACGAUACGGGACUCAUCCGAGGCCCCGUAAUCGGAAUGAGAACACCCUAAAUCCUUUAACGAGGAUCUAUUGGAGGGCAAGUCUGGUGCCAGCAGCCGCGGUAAUUCCAGCUCCAAUAGCGUAUAUUAAAGUUGUUGCGGUUAAAAAGCUCGUAGUUGGUUCUGCGUGCCACGCUGUCGGUUCACCGCCUGUCGGUGCAACUGGCAUGCCGUGGCAUGUCCUGUCGGUGGCUGACGGGCUUCGCGGCGCGCCCCACUCGCUCACGCGUGUGGGCCGACGCGCCGUGUCGUCCUCGUUGGCCGGCUCAAUCCUACCGCGGUGCUCUUAAACGAGUGUCGAGGUAGGCCGACACUGUUUACUUUGAACAAAUUAGAGUGCUUCAAGCAGGCUCUGAAAGCAGCCUGAAUAGUGGUGCAUGGAAUAAUGGAACAGGACCUUGGUUCUAUUUUGUUGGUUUUCGGAAUCCAAGGUAAUGAUCAAUAAGGACAGGCGGGGGCAUUCGUAUUGCGACGUUAGAGGUGAAAUUCUUGGAUCGUCGCAAGACGCACUAGAGCGAAAGCAUUUGCCAAGUAUGUCUUAAUUGAUCAAGAACGAAAGUUAGAGGUUCGAAGGCGAUCAGAUACCGCCCUAGUUCUAACCAUAAACGAUGCCAGCCAGCGAUCCGCCGAUGUUCCUCCGAUGACUCGGCGGGGAGCUUUCCCCGGGAAACCAAAGCUUUUGGGUUCCGGGGGAAGUAUGGUUGCAAAGCUGAAACUUAAAGGAAUUGACGGAAGGGCACCACCAGGAGUGGAGCCUGCGGCUUAAUUUGACUCAACACGGGAAACCUCACC